GCUGAUGCGUUGUUGGGUAGGGGAGCGUUCUGUAAGCCUGUGAAGGUGUGUCGUGAGGCAUGCUGGAGGUAUCAGAAGUGCGAAUGCUGACAUAAGUAACGAUAAAGCGGGUGAAAAGCCCGCUCGCCGGAAGACCAAGGGUUCCUGUCCAACGUUAAUCGGGGCAGGGUGAGUCGACCCCUAAGGCGAGGCCGAAAGGCGUAGUCGAUGGGAAACGGGUUAAUAUUCCCGUACUUGGUGUUACUGCGAAGGGGGGACGGAGAAGGCUAUGUUGGCCGGGCGACGGUUGUCCCGGUUUAAGCGUGUAGGUGUGUGUUCCAGGUAAAUCCGGUUCACUUUAACACUGAGGC
rnacentral:rRNA from 1 species